rnacentral:lncRNA from 1 species
AAAAAGUACAAAAAUUUAUCAGCGCCUAAUGGAAAUGUUGUUUGUUCCAAUCAAUCUCAGCAGCAGCUAAAACCAUUCAAGUCAAAUUGAUUGCGUCUUAAUGGAGGAUCAUUAUUUUCAUGGAUAUUAUUCAGCUGAAAUCCUUGUGGUAUUUCCUCAUUCUGGGGUUUUACUGAGUCUCUUCUUUUGGUGUUUCUAAAUUCUUCUCCCGUGUAGAUUCUGUUGCCAUUCAAUUUUUCUCCCUGAACUCCAACACUCAUUGACAAAUCACAGGCAUCAACUUCUUUCUCUCGAAUCUCUUUCAGGUCUUUGCACCAUCUGAGAUCAAAGGUAUCGUUGUCGAUCUUACUAGCUAAAGGUAUCAAACCUCCACAUGAGGUCAAGCACCUGUCUAAUGAAAAAUCCAUGGACUGCAGGUUUGUUUGUUUUUGCUGUGGAUAGAAGCCCCCUGAAACAUCUUUCAUCCCUGGGAAUGCAGAAUCUAGGCAAUUGGUGGAUACCGGUUCAGAUAGCUGGACCUUCGCAGCAGCCUCUAAUCCUAUUGUUCCCAAAUUCUGUCUUCCUAGGGUAUCUUGUGCUUUCUCUAGCACUGCUUGUAGGUAUUUCCCUUGAGCUUCUAUUCGAAGCUGCAAAUGUCGUUGUACCUAUCAAUUCAGAAAACUAAAUGUUUUCACUUGUUUAAAUUGCUAUAUUUGCUUCAUUCGUUCUGCUAGAUUAAAUAUGUCAGGCAUCCACAUAUUCUAAUGUUUAAAAUGAAAUGCACGUAUGAGAUAAUUGUUUGGGGUAUGUAUUUCACCUCCAGCUGCUCAUGUAGCUGUCUUUGCACUUCAAUCUGCAGAUGUAUUGCUUCACUUAUUUGUAAACUUCUGAAUAGAGCAUCUCGUAGUUAGAGCAAAUUUUUUUAAAAAUAAGUUAAUGUGUUGAUUAACAAAAAGAGUGAAAAGGCUUUGGCACGCAUACUUAAUUGUUUGAGGUUCAAUGCUUGAAUUACUUGUGUGAGUUCCAUUUGCCUCGGACAUCCUGUCUUCCACCAUUGCAACCAUUCCUACACUAGCAAAUCAUUGUUAUGUUAUCUUUAAAAUAACUGGUGUAAAAAUUUGAAAUAUAUAUAUGUCCGAUGAAAUUUGAGCAUCUUACCAAUUUUGUUUGCCCCGGUAUUUGCUUGUCCAUGUAGAUUUUUGCUGAGUCUGUACUUCUGCCAGCCAAAAAGCAAAAGUUAGUCUUCCAACUUAUAUUGUAAAACAGAGGUCAGAUAGUAGGUUGCUUCUUCGAUCUAUAUGUUCAGUCGAAGUACAUCUACUUAAAAGCUAAAAGAAAAUUAGGAAGAAAAAAGAAAUGAGAAGAAGAAUGAGUAUCCAUAAAUUAUUAGUAGGUUGCCUCUCACCAUGACAUAUCAAGACUGGUCUUUUGCUGUGCAAAUGAAAGGAUGGGAGAUGCAUGUAUCUAAAGAACAUUGUUGAUUAUUUGUUAUGGUAGAACUGCAAAUCCCUCCCUUCAUUUGCCACAACAAUCGGUAACCUUAGAGAUAUAUUGCACAAGGCCUGAACAUAUGCACGAAAAAAGAAAAGAAAAGAAAGUAGAUGGCCUUAACUCUAAUAUGAAGAGGCUUACUAGUGUAAUUAUGGGUAAACGUUUACCUGAAGAUGACUCUUUAAAUGGUAUAAGGUAAGUCUUUGAAUCCCCAUUAGUUUCAAAACCGAUUUUGGUGUAGCCUCUGCAGUAGAAUAAUAGACACUUCAAUUAGGUAAAUAAUUAGUUAAUUUUUGCAUGGUGGUAUUGAACAUUAACAUAGUUUGACUCACUGUCUGCUCCACCGAGAUGAUUAACUGCUUCAAUGAACCGUUCAUGAAGGUCUGGCGUCCAUUUCAAUCUAGGCUUUGCAUCAGUUGAAAGGAUAAGUCCAGAAUCUCCUGUAGCAUUCCCACCUUGUAGGAAUAGAACUCUUUCUGGAGUCAUUGGCGUUCUUGAGGAAGGUUGGAUAUUAUUUGCUUGAUGAUGAUACAUUUUGUCUUCAAAAUAAUUGCCUUAUGAUUAGCUUCAUGGUUGUAGCACAAUAAUAUGAUCCUACGAAUGAAUAGUUAUGGUUUUACCUGCAAGUUGUCACGUCUCUUGAUUAGUUCUGAUACUUGGUAAAAAAGCUGUCUUCUACAGCUCUCAUCUAUCUCCUCUCUUAUCUGACCAAGUCUCACAAACCAGGGGUGUGCUCAAGCACGCCUUAUAAGGCAAAUGGAAAAAGGACUGUGGGGGAUGGGAGAUGGAGUCUUACUGAGGCAUAGAAUCUUGGGCAGACCCAAUCCAAUCUUCACAGCAAUUCAGAAAGAGAUCUUGUCCUUACAGUUCUGAGAAUCUGUGGGACCUAUCCCAUAACUCCAUUUUCCGUUCUCAACCAGCUCUAUCAAUCUAAAUUAUAUAACUUCCUGCAACACUUAGCAUCCCGCCAGACUUUUCUGUGCAUUCAUAUUCGUCAUAUGGUAAAGUUAGGGAAUCUUAUUCUCGAAUUAAAGAGUAAAAUUUUCUGACCCAUAUUUGGGGAAUCCACUAUCUCAGUUGUCUUAAUAUCUUCAAGCCAUCUUCUCUUCCCAUAUAUGAUCCUUAAAAAACCAAUUACAUUGAUCCUUAAUUGGACUCACAGUUAUUUUUUCUUGUCGAUGUACCUUUCAAAGACUCAUUUGCUUUGCAAAUAUAGAUCAGUUUUUAAGUCAUCUUAAUUACAAGGUGCAGACAUACUGAAAAGACAAGAAAAUUUCAACUGGUUUAACUUGGAGAAUGUAGAAGAAGAUUCUGUAGGCUGGAACAUCUAGAACUUGGAAUUGCGCACAUACAAGAGAGAGAUUAAAAAAAAUGAAAGAUGCCCCUCCUUAGAAUUGUCUGAAGGGCCAAUAAUGGAAUAAGGAAUACAUUCAUUUUUGUCUCCUUCCAUAAGUUUGGUACGUAUUUAGACUAGACAGUAUUUAGAUUGAUUAAAAGAGUGCCCCAAUUAAAUAUUUUCUAUUCUUCAAUUGGUAUAAAGAAGCCAGCCUCAUGCUGAAGCUGAUUGGACCCUUACAGCAAGAAAAAGAUGGAUUGUACUUGCUCCAUACUUGCAUUUCAUGGAAAGUAUGACACUUCGUGGACUGGGGAGGACCACUUGCGUUUCCCUUGACUUGAGUCUCGGUUGGCUUUGCAGAUUCUCUGGUAUGAAUCUACACAUCCUUCUUGUUGUCUUAAUUCUUUUAAUAGUGGAUUAAAGCUAGCUUGUUAAUAGCUAUGCAUGCCUCUGUAUGACAUACAAAUAGUCAAAAUAGAUGAUAUGCUGUACACGAUUAUACAAGUUUGCAUGAACAUGCAUAAUUCUUACUUCACAAUAAUUUGUGUUUAGAGACUGUUUCUACAUGUUAAAGGAUUACUCGUGCAUUCUGAAAAUGCAACUUUGAACAAAUAAGAAAUCUGAUUUCCGAUGCCAUUUUAAGGAGUGUUUUUUUAGCGUCUACAACAAGCAUUUCAAGAUUACAAAAGAAGCUAUACGACAACUUUAAUUUGUUCUUUCAUCACCCUUGUCUUUUUCUUUAUGUGAUUUUAGCUAUAUACAUUUUAGUGUGAACAUUAUGAAUUUAAUUAUGUGCCUUGAAUAAAGUAUCAUCACCUAACUAAUUUCAACUUACAACUAAUGUUUUUAGAUAGAUCAAUUUGUUCUGAUAUAUCAGGAUAUAUAUUUUAUGUAGUUUUGGGAAUAUGUGGGAGGCUUUAGGUAAAGUGUACGUUAAAGAAAUUCCUUAAUAGUUUGCUGGCAUGUGGAUAGGAAUAAAUUCCAGUAAGGGGAAUAAUUUGGAAAUUAGGAUCCUCUCCAUUUCAUGUGUGCUGUAAAAUAGCUCCUGUUAUAGCCUAUAUCCCAUAUUCUUCAAUCUUAUAGCUCCUGUUAAAUUAUGGCAUUAUAGCCAAACCAUAAGUAGAGUUGCAUGUUGCUAUAAUUUUUAGUUCACGUCUUAUCUUUCCAACAACUUAAUGUUGGAAAUAUCCGAUCCAUAUAUGCUCAUCUGAAACUGCAUAUUGACCCAAAAGGUUAACCCUAUGGUCCAUUAGAGCAUAUAUAUCCUCAAUUCAAUCUUUCUCCUUGUAUUUCGAUGCGGGACUUUACUAUGCGUACCUAACACUUAAUGUAAAGUAUUAAGUAGUUAUCUUUUUAAUGCUUCCAUCAAGUCUUGACUGCAAUUCACUUUCUCUUGUAUUUGUGUGUGGGCAUUUAUUCAUUUAUAUGCUAAAAGGGGAGUAUUUAGCUUUAAGCAAAUGUUGUGUGAUUUUCAAUAGAUGGAAACAUAGGUUGUAUUGUACUUAGACUCGUGUUAAUAUUUUGUUUUCUUUUCUGAAAGGAACAACAAAUCGCAUUUUAGUAGUAUCAUUUGGAUUGGCUGGUCGGUCGGUCGGUCGGUCGGUCGAUCAUUAGUGAAAAAUACUUGCCCGUGCCAGUUGCUUAUUGGACCACAUCUGACAAGGAUUUAAAGAAGGAAAUGACCACGGAAUGAUAUUCCCUUCGGAAAGGAAACAAAAGUUGGAAAGAUUCCAAGGAAUGGGAUUUGAGAAUCUUAACUCAAAGUAAAGCCAAUGGGAAUGGGGUGGGGUGGGGUGGGGUGGGGUGGGGUUCUCAAGUCAAGAAUUUUAGUUAUUCUUUUCUACUCAAACUCACAAUACAAAUUGUUUAAUUUCUAGAUUGACAAUAGAUUAGAUUAAGAUGCCUUUCAAUAUUCAGAAUCAAGUAAACAAUCUAUAUCUAUAUACAUAUAGGAAAAAUAAAAUAAAAUUGUACUUGUAUUUGUAUUUGGUAUGAGAUUAAAAUUUAAUUGUUACUAAAAUAUUUUUUUAAACUUCCUGAUUUUAGUUUAUUAACUACUACUAAAACACUUUUUAAACAUAGAAUUUAAUUAGAAUCAAAACACUAUUUAUAAUCCUGAAAAAUUCUAGAACAACUUGUUAUUUUAUAAUAAUUUUAUUUCUUAUAGAAGUCUUUUAUUGAUAUUAAUUUUCACGAGUCUAAAUUAAAAUACAUAUGGAUCGUUAUUAAAUAUAUAAAUAGAUUAAAUAUUUAAAAUUAAUCUAUCAUAUAAUCUCCUCUUAAUUUUAUUUUAUUAACUAUUGCUAAAACACUUUUUAAACCUAAAAUUUAACUAAAAUCAAAAUACUAUUUAUGAUCCUAAAAUUUUUUAGAGUAACUUAUUAUUUUGGAGCAAUUUAAAUUAGAAUAUACUAGCUUAUAAAGAGAUUAACUUAUAAAAGGACAUAAUAAUAGUGUUUUAUGUGUGCUUAGUAUUUUAGUUUUUUUAAAAAUGCAAAGCACAUGUUUACUUUAUAAAUAAUAUUAUUUUUAAUAUUUUAUAUUUUAUAUAUGAUGUUUAUAAAAAAUGAAUUUCACAAAUUAACUUACUAUUUGGUAUUAAAAUGAUUACAAUAUUUGCUUAAAAAAAAUUAAAUAAAUACAAAUCACAUACAUUUGUCUACUAUAAUUAAUAUUAUAUUAUUUUAUGAAUAAUUUUAUUAUUUAUAAAAUUUCUUUAGCUCAUUAAUCAUAUCUUUUUGAUCAAAGUUUGUAAAUAUUGUCAUAGCAAUUGUAAGUUAGUUUGUGAAAAUUCUAAAAAUAUUUCAUAAUCAUUAAAUAUAAAAUGAAUAAAAAAUAAAAAAUUAUGCUUUUUGAAAAAUAAAUUCAUGUUUCGUACUUGGUAUUUUUGGUCUUUGGUAUGAGCUUAUAAUUUAACUACAACUAAUUAGUAGAAGUUCACAGUUCUUAGUGACUGCUCAGUAUUCAUUAUUUUGAAAUCUCGAAUUGAUUAAGCGUUGAAUCUUAUUGAUAUCUUUAUGUUCUUAUUGACUAUUGUUGAGAACCAUCGAUACUUCUUGUUAUCCUUGAACUAUCAUUUAUUAUUGUACCCUUGAGAAUUUAAAAUUAUAUUGAACACCCUUAUUGUUAUAUUAUUUGCUGAGCAAACUUGUUGCUCAUUCUUACUUCCCUAAAAACAUUUCAGUUAAGGCAGAGCAAGGCGGACCCUCGGGCACUGAUAAGAGCAAGGGCAAAGCUACGGAGUAGCUUCUUAUUUAUUUAGGAAUAUUAUGAUAAUGUAAAGACAUAAAUUGUGUUAUGUAUUAGUUAUGUCAAAGCUAUGUUUAUGUAUGUUUAAGGUAUAUAAGAGAUGUUUAAGUUACGAAACCUUGGGACGUGA